GCAGUCGAACGGCAGCAUGAUCUAGCUUGCUAGAUUGAUGGCGAGUGGCGAACGGGUGAGUAAUACAUCGGAACGUGCCCUGUAGUGGGGGAUAACUAGUCGAAAGAUUAGCUAAUACCGCAUACGACCUGAGGGUGAAAGUGGGGGACCGCAAGGCCUCAUGCUAUAGGAGCGGCCGAUGUCUGAUUAGCUAGUUGGUGAGGUAAAGGCUCACCAAGGCGACGAUCAGUAGCUGGUCUGAGAGGACGAUCAGCCACACUGGGACUGAGACACGGCCCAGACUCCUACGGGAGGCAGCAGUGGGGAAUUUUGGACAAUGGGGGCAACCCUGAUCCAGCAAUGCCGCGUGUGUGAAGAAGGCCUUCGGGUUGUAAAGCACUUUUGUCCGGAAAGAAAUCGCACUUACUAAUAUUAGGUGUGGAUGACGGUACCGGAAGAAUAAGGACCGGCUAACUACGUGCCAGCAGCCGCGGUAAUACGUAGGGUCCAAGCGUUAAUCGGAAUUACUGGGCGUAAAGCGUGCGCAGGCGGUUGUGCAAGACCGAUGUGAAAUCCCCGGGCUUAACCUGGGAAUUGCAUUGGUGACUGCACGGCUAGAGUGUGUCAGAGGGGGGUAGAAUUCCACGUGUAGCAGUGAAAUGCGUAGAGAUGUGGAGGAAUACCGAUGGCGAAGGCAGCCCCCUGGGAUAACACUGACGCUCAUGCACGAAAGCGUGGGGAGCAAACAGGAUUAGAUACCCUGGUAGUCCACGCCCUAAACGAUGUCAACUAGUUGUUGGGGAUUCAUUUCCUUAGUAACGUAGCUAACGCGUGAAGUUGACCGCCUGGGGAGUACGGUCGCAAGAUUAAAACUCAAAGGAAUUGACGGGGACUCGCACAAGCGGUGGAUGAUGUGGAUUAAUUCGAUGCAACGCGAAAAACCUUACCUACCCUUGACAUGCCACUAACGAAGCAGAGAUGCAUUAGGUGCUCGAAAGAGAAAGUGGACACAGGUGCUGCAUGGCUGUCGUCAGCUCGUGUCGUGAGAUGUUGGGUUAAGUCCCGCAACGAGCGCAACCCUUGUCUCUAGUUGCUACGAAAGGGCACUCUAGAGAGACUGCCGGUGACAAACCGGAGGAAGGUGGGGAUGACGUCAAGUCCCCAUGGCCCUUAUGGGUAGGGCUUCACACGUCAUACAAUGGUGCAUACAGAGGGUUGCCAAGCCGCGAGGUGGAGCUAAUCCCAGAAAAUGCAUCGUAGUCCGGAUCGUAGUCUGCAACUCGACUACGGAAGCUGGAAUCGCUAGUAUCGCGGAUCA
rnacentral:rRNA from 1 species